rfam:TPA: Bos taurus chromosome 11, whole genome shotgun sequence.
UCCCUGAUAGCUCAGUUGGUAAAGAAUCUGCCUGCAAUGCAGGAGACCCUGGUACAAUUCCUGGGUUGGGAA